GCGCCCGGCGCACCCCCUGCCGCCGCGCUUCCUCUUCCGCGCAGUCCCGGAGGAGCCGGGCCGCGGCCCGCCGUCAGCGCCUGGGCGUCCGUCCCCAGGCUCUUCGGGGUACAACAAAGCCUAUGCAUUUUGAAGAUGUGUGAAGGUUGUGAACAGUGCUUCUCAAAAACUCAUCAUAGAAGAUGACUGAAGUAAAUUGCAUGUUACAAGGUUGCUGCAGAUGAAUGUACAAGUCUUUUGGUGAUAGUGUUUAAAAAUUCUUCAUUGCCUCAUGUAUGGCAUGCAGUCUUUUAGAAGGAACAAUGAAGACAUGGUCAAGAAAACAUGAACAGAAGCAAGUGAUGAAAGUAUUCGUUGAAAAAUUCACAAAUUAUGUAGAAAAAUAGAUGAUUAAUUGUAACUGCUGAAUAAAAUUGUUUUCUUUAAAAUACAUGUCCUUAAUUUUUAGUCAGACCUAUUUUCAGCCUACUUUAGCGACACUUGUCAAACAUCAGCUCUUUUGUGGGUGGUGAUUCUUAUUAAAGUGGACAACUAGAGUCAUUUCUAGUGCCUUUUUAGGUUUUCAGGAAUUUCUUGCCUAAUAAUUGUACUCCCUGCUAUUGUACAUAAAUGGCUGAUGGGGAUUUCCUAGGCUCUUUAAAUGCUUUUAGCUGGCCCUUAAAAGUAAAGGUUCCACCUUUUGAUGACCUACAGCUUUUUAUUUUUGUGGAAACAAAAAAGUGAUACCCUAUAACAAGUAAUAACUAACAGUAUGUUGUAUUAAGGAAGAUAGUGACUGGGCAGGCCACCAGUCUGUCUAGGACCACAAAUUUACAGGAACUUUAAAACUCAAUUCCUACCCAAGUGAAGGCUUAUAUGUAACUAAAUUGUUUAUCAUGUUGACUCCACACUUUGUAGAUGAAAUGCUUUUAUCGGGAUCAUGAUUUGCAUGUGCCAUGCUCAGCAGCAUCCUAAUCACUUCCCAUUAGAGGCAACAUUUAAAAACCAUAAGUUUUUUUUCUUCCUGGUGUUUGGCACUUGGCAAUUAUGAAAUUGAGGCUAUAGUAUGGGUCCUGUAGUUUUUAUAUGAGUUCAGAAAUACUAUUUUUCCUCCAUGCUAUCUCAAAAAAAAGAAAAAGGAAUGUAGAUCAGUGUGAAAGCUUUGGGUUAAAUUCCAUUACCACCAAAAAAAGAAAUUUUUAUGAAAUUGGUAUGUUUUGAUGUCCCCGCUGUUUUCAGAACAAACCCCAGAAGUGCAGGCCAGAUGCAGUGAUACAUACCUAUAGUCUCAGCUGCUUGGAGGCUGAGGCAGGAGGGUCACUUUUCUCCCCAAGAAUUCGAGGCCAGCCAGGGCAACAUGACACCCCAUCUCCAGCAGUAAUUGGUUUGCAAAUUGUCUUUGUCUUUUAGAACUUAGGAUGAGGGCCAAUUUAUAAAUUGCUGAUUCCAUUUUUUUCCAUUUAACAUAACAGAAAAUCCAAUGCAUAUUGCAAGAAGAGGCCUUAAAUUUGGAAUUUCACAUCAUAUUAAAUAAAUAAUACUUCCUGAGAGAAGUCUUCCUAAAAAUUCAAAGUAAGAAGCCACACUCUGGAGGCUGAGGUAGGAGGAU